AGCAAAUUAUAAUGAUGAGAGAUGUGUGGAAAUUUUAAAGAUGUACAGGAUAGAGUAAGUUAAAAUGCAAGAGGCAGAAUGAAGCAGAAUGACACUGGACAAUCACUGUGGGAGGAGGAAGAUGAGUUUAAAGUAAAGAUCAAAUUCACCAAGUCCAAUGACUGCUGAGCCAAUGGCUGGCCCUGACUAUGAUCUUCACUGGUUAUGUCUGCUUCCAAAAUGUGGUUUCUAUUGCU
rnacentral:lncRNA from 1 species